AUUGAACGCUGGCGGCAUGCCUAACACAUGCAAGUCGAACGGCAGCACAGCAGUAGCAAUACUGUGGGUGGCGAGUGGCGGACGGGUGAGGAAUACGUCGGAAUCUGCCCAGUCGUGGGGGAUAACUAGCCGAAAGGUUAGCUAAUACCGCAUACGACCGAGAGGUGAAAGCGGGGGACCGCAAGGCCUCGCGCGAUUGGAUGAGCCGACGUCGGAUUAGCUAGUUGGCGGGGUAAAGGCCCACCAAGGCGACGAUCCGUAGCUGGUCUGAGAGGAUGAUCAGCCACACUGGAACUGAGACACGGUCCAGACCCCUACGGGAGGCAGCAGUGGGGAAUAUUGGACAAUGGGCGCAAGCCUGAUCCAGCAAUGCCGCGUGUGUGAAGAAGGCCUUCGGGUUGUAAAGCACUUUUAUCAGGAACGAAAAGCGUUGGAUUAAUACUCUGACGUGCUGACGGUACCUGAGGAAUAAGCACCGGCUAACUUCGUG
rnacentral:rRNA from 1 species